GCCGUGAUCGUGUAGUGGUUAGUACUCUGCGUUGUGGCCGCUGCAACCCUGGUUCGAAUCCGGGUCACGGCA
rfam:Xenopus tropicalis strain Nigerian Chr03_contig_3513, whole genome shotgun sequence.